rnacentral:rRNA from 1 species
AUUGAACGCUGGCGGCAGGCCUAACACAUGCAAGUCGAACGAGUGGCGGACGGGUGAGUAAUGUCUGGGAAACUGCCUGAUGGAGGGGGAUAAAUACUGGAAACGGUAGCUAAUACCGCAUACCAUCGGAUUUGCCCAGAUGGGAUGAGCUAGUAGGUGGGGUAAAGGCUCACCAGGGCGACGAUCCCUAGCUGGUCUGAGAGGAUGACCAGCCACACUGGAACUGAGCCACGGGCCAGACUCCGACGGGAGGCAGCAGUGGGGAAGAUUGGACAAUGGGAGAAAGCCUGAUGCAGCCAUGCCGCGUGGAUGAAGAAGGCCUGCGGGUUGUAAAGUACUUUCAGUGGGGAGGCGGUACCAGCAGAAGAAGCACCGGCUAACUCCGUGCCAGCAGCCGCGGUAAUUC